GGAAUGGAGAGCCAAGUGGGACGAAAGGAGGGCCAAAGGAGGGCACAGCGUGAAGGGCCAGAGGACAGGUGCUGGUGGAGUGGGGGCCAGGACCCCAGCAAGGAGCCCAGGCUGGGGACCUAGAGGAGGGCCUACGCCAGGGUAGAGUAGGGAAGGGCAGGGCCGGGCAGGCACGAGGCACUAGUGGACUGCAGUGCAGGGAAACCAAGGGGAGCGGGGAAGCAGCCCAGGCAAGAGGCCCCCUGUCAAUGCCCAGGGAGGCGCUGGGCAACAAGGGCCACCAGAGGCUCAAGCGAGGAGCCAGGCCAGGGAAUGCAGAGCCAAGGGCUGGGGCUGGGGCAGGAGUUUCAGGACAGUGGACAAGGCUGGCGAAGGAAGGCAGGGCAUCCGGCAGGGGGGUGGG
rnacentral:lncRNA from 1 species